GAGUUGCUCAGCUGGUUAGAGCGCGGCGCUGAUAACGCCAAGGUCACAAGUUCAUUCCCCGUAUGGGACA